UUUGUAGCUCUUGCCGAACUCUGGCUGG
rnacentral:piRNA from 1 species